rnacentral:rRNA from 1 species
GGGUUGUGAGGUUAAGCGACUAAGCGUACACGGUGGAUGCCCUGGCAGUCAGAGGCGAUGAAGGACGUGCUAAUCUGCGAUAAGCGUCGGUAAGGUGAUAUGAACCGUUAUAACCGGCGAUUUCCGAAUGGGGAAACCCAGUGUGAUUCGUCACACUAUCAUUAACUGAAUCCAUAGGUUAAUGAGGCGAACCGGGGGAACUGAAACAUCUAAGUACCCCGAGGAAAAGAAAUCAACCGAGAUUCCCCCAGUAGCGGCGAGCGAACGGGGAGCAGCCCAGAGCCUGAAUCAGUGUGUGUGUUAGUGGAAGCGUCUGGAAAGGCGCGCGAUACAGGGUGACAGCCCCGUACACAAAAAUGCACAUGCUGUGAGCUCGAUGAGUAGGGCGGGACACGUGGUAUCCUGUCUGAAUAUGGGGGGACCAUCCUCCAAGGCUAAAUACUCCUGACUGACCGAUAGUGAACCAGUACCGUGAGGGAAAGGCGAAAAGAACCCCGGCGAGGGGAGUGAAAAAGAACCUGAAACCGUGUACGUACAAGCAGUGGGAGCACGCUUAGGCGUGUGACUGCGUACCUUUUGUAUAAUGGGUCAGCGACUUAUAUUCUGUAGCAAGGUUAACCGAAUAGGGGAGCCGAAGGGAAACCGAGUCUUAACUGGGCGUUAAGUUGCAGGGUAUAGACCCGAAACCCGGUGAUCUAGCCAUGGGCAGGUUGAAGGUUGGGUAACACUAACUGGAGGACCGAACCGACUAAUGUUGAAAAAUUAGCGGAUGACUUGUGGCUGGGGGUGAAAGGCCAAUCAAACCGGGAGAUAGCUGGUUCUCCCCGAAAGCUAUUUAGGUAGCGCCUCGUGAAUUCAUCUCCGGGGGUAGAGCACUGUUUCGGCAAGGGGGUCAUCCCGACUUACCAACCCGAUGCAAACUGCGAAUACCGGAGAAUGUUAUCACGGGAGACACACGGCGGGUGCUAACGUCCGUCGUGAAGAGGGAAACAACCCAGACCGCCAGCUAAGGUCCCAAAGUCAUGGUUAAGUGGGAAACGAUGUGGGAAGGCCCAGACAGCCAGGAUGUUGGCUUAGAAGCAGCCAUCAUUUAAAGAAAGCGUAAUAGCUCACUGGUCGAGUCGGCCUGCGCGGAAGAUGUAACGGGGCUAAACCAUGCACCGAAGCUGCGGCAGCGACGCUUAUGCGUUGUUGGGUAGGGGAGCGUUCUGUAAGCCUGUGAAGGUGUACUGUGAGGUAUGCUGGAGGUAUCAGAAGUGCGAAUGCUGACAUAAGUAACGAUAAAGCGGGUGAAAAGCCCGCUCGCCGGAAGACCAAGGGUUCCUGUCCAACGUUAAUCGGGGCAGGGUGAGUCGACCCCUAAGGCGAGGCCGAAAGGCGUAGUCGAUGGGAAACAGGUUAAUAUUCCUGUACUUGGUGUUACUGCGAAGGGGGGACGGAGAAGGCUAUGUUGGCCGGGCGACGGUUGUCCCGGUUUAAGCGUGUAGGCUGGUUUUCCAGGCAAAUCCGGAAAAUCAAGGCUGAGGCGUGAUGACGAGGCACUACGGUGCUGAAGCAACAAAUGCCCUGCUUCCAGGAAAAGCCUCUAAGCAUCAGGUAACAUCAAAUCGUACCCCAAACCGACACAGGUGGUCAGGUAGAGAAUACCAAGGCGCUUGAGAGAACUCGGGUGAAGGAACUAGGCAAAAUGGUGCCGUAACUUCGGGAGAAGGCACGCUGAUAUGUAGGUGAAGUCCCUCGCGGAUGGAGCUGAAAUCAGUCGAAGAUACCAGCUGGCUGCAACUGUUUAUUAAAAACACAGCACUGUGCAAACACGAAAGUGGACGUAUACGGUGUGACGCCUGCCCGGUGCCGGAAGGUUAAUUGAUGGGGUUAGCGCAAGCGAAGCUCUUGAUCGAAGCCCCGGUAAACGGCGGCCGUAACUAUAACGGUCCUAAGGUAGCGAAAUUCCUUGUCGGGUAAGUUCCGACCUGCACGAAUGGCGUAAUGAUGGCCAGGCUGUCUCCACCCGAGACUCAGUGAAAUUGAACUCGCUGUGAAGAUGCAGUGUACCCGCGGCAAGACGGAAAGACCCCGUGAACCUUUACUAUAGCUUGACACUGAACAUUGAGCCUUGAUGUGUAGGAUAGGUGGGAGGCUUUGAAGUGUGGACGCCAGUCUGCAUGGAGCCGACCUUGAAAUACCACCCUUUAAUGUUUGAUGUUCUAACGUGGACCCGUAAUCCGGGUUGCGGACAGUGUCUGGUGGGUAGUUUGACUGGGGCGGUCUCCUCCUAAAGAGUAACGGAGGAGCACGAAGGUUGGCUAAUCCUGGUCGGACAUCAGGAGGUUAGUGCAAUGGCAUAAGCCAGCUUGACUGCGAGCGUGACGGCGCGAGCAGGUGCGAAAGCAGGUCAUAGUGAUCCGGUGGUUCUGAAUGGAAGGGCCAUCGCUCAACGGAUAAAAGGUACUCCGGGGAUAACAGGCUGAUACCGCCCAAGAGUUCAUAUCGACGGCGGUGUUUGGCACCUCGAUGUCGGCUCAUCACAUCCUGGGGCUGAAGUAGGUCCCAAGGGUAUGGCUGUUCGCCAUUUAAAGUGGUACGCGAGCUGGGUUUAGAACGUCGUGAGACAGUUCGGUCCCUAUCUGCCGUGGGCGCUGGAGAACUGAGGGGGGCUGCUCCUAGUACGAGAGGACCGGAGUGGACGCAUCACUGGUGUUCGGGUUGUCAUGCCAAUGGCACUGCCCGGUAGCUAAAUGCGGAAGAGAUAAGUGCUGAAAGCAUCUAAGCACGAAACUUGCCCCGAGAUGAGUUCUCCCUGACCCUUUAAGGGUCCUGAAGGAACGUUGAAGACGACGACGUUGAUAGGCCGGGUGUGUAAGCGCAGCGAUGCGUUGAGCUAACCGGUACUAAUGAACCGUGAGGCUUAACCUUACAACGCCGAAG